rnacentral:rRNA from 1 species
AACGAAGAUAUUAAGAAUGAGAGCUUCGGCAGGAAUUUUUCUUAUCUUAGUGGCGGACGGGUGAGUAACGUGUGGGCAACCUGCCCUGCACUGGGGAAUAAUCAUUGGAAACGAUGACUAAUACCGCAUACGGUUCCUGGGAGGCAUCUUCCGGGAAAGAAAGGAUUUAUUCGGUGCAGGAUGGGCCCGCAUCUGAUUAGCUAGUUGGUGAGAUAACAGCCCACCAAGGCGACGAUCAGUAGCCGACCUGAGAGGGUGACCGGCCACAUUGGGACUGAGACACGGCCCAAACUCCUACGGGAGGCAGCAGUGGGGAAUAUUGCACAAUGGGCGAAAGCCUGAUGCAGCAACGCCGCGUGAAGGAAGAAGGGUUUCGGCUCGUAAACUUCUAUCAACAGGGACGAAAGAAAUGACGGUACCUGAAUAAGAAGCCCCGGCUAACUACGUGCCAGCAGCCGCGGUAAUACGUAGGGGGCAAGCGUUAUCCGGAAUUACUGGGU